rnacentral:rRNA from 1 species
AGAGUUUGAUCCUGGCUCAGGAUGAACGCUAGCGGCAGCUUAACACAUGCAAGUUGAGGGGCAGCAUGAAUAAUAGCAACAUUAUUUGAUGGCGACCAGCGCACGGGUGCGUAACACGUAUGCAAUCUGCCUCGUACUUGGGCAUAACUCCGAGAAAUCGGUGCUAAUUCCCAAUAACACUAUGAAGUGGCAUCACUUUAUAGUUAAAGUUCCGGCGGUACGAGAUGAGCAUGCGCCCAAUUAGCUAGUUGGUGAGGUAACGGCUCACCAAGGCUACGAUUGGUAGGGGUUCUGAGAGGAUGAUCCCACACACUGGUACUGAGACACGGACCAGACUCCUACGGGAGGCAGCAGUGAGGAAUAUUGCGCAAUGGACGAAAGUCUGACGCAGCCAUGCCGCGUGAAGGAUUGAAGGCCCUAUGGGUUGUAAACUUCUUUUGUACGGGAAAAAACGCUCCUACGUGUAGGAGCCUGAUGGUACCGUAAGAAUAAGCACCGGCUAACUCCGUGCCAGCAGCCGCGGUAAUACGGAGGGUGCAAGCGUUAUCCGGAUUUAUUGGGUUUAAAGGGUCCGUAGGCGGGCCGAUAAGUCAGUGGUGAAAGCCCAUAGCUCAACUAUGGAACUGCCAUUGAUACUGUCGGUCUUGAGUACAAGUGAGGUUGGCGGAAUGUGUGGUGUAGCGGUGAAAUGCUUAGAUAUCACACAGAACACCGAUUGCGAAGGCAGCUGGCCAACUUGUAACUGACGCUGAGGGACGAAAGUGUGGGGAUCAAACAGGAUUAGAUACCCUGGUAGUCCACACCGUAAACGAUGAUCACUAGAUUUUGGCCGUAUGGUCAGAGUCCAAGCGAAAGUGUUUAGUGAUCCACCUGGGGAGUACGUCCGCAAGGAUGAAACUCAAAGGAAUUGACGG